rnacentral:lncRNA from 1 species
CAUGAGGAAGAUUGAUUUCUGACUUCUAAUUGGUCCCACCGGGCAUGCCAAAAGCGUGUUGAUAGAAAACACGAGGCCUGGGAGAUCUGCUUAACUCCAGUGCAGGUCCAAAACUCGCCUUCGGGUGUAUGAGCGUGCCAGUUGAUUUGAUGCUGCAAUCAACAAGAAAUAGAACAAAGAAACCGCAAUUAAUCCUAUAAAUGAUAGCCGAUCGGCUAGGUGCCGAUGACAUAUCAUUUAUUUCAAGCCAAUGUCAUAAGUACAUCGAUCGGCAAAUAUCAAUAAGCAAAUCAGAACUAAAUCUACUCGAUCGGCUGUAGAUAUUAAUGAUAUAUAAUCCUUAUAUCGAUAUAUACUUAAAUCAAGUGAUUGGGAUAGAUCGGUCGCCUUGCCGAGACAGUAUAAAUCACUUAGAUCGAUAUAUAUAUAUAUAUAUAUAUAUAUAUAUAUAUAUAUAUAUAUAUAUAUAUAUAUUAAUAGUGGGAUUAUAUACAUUUAUAGCAUAGCCGAUCAAAUGGAUCUAGCAUGUAUUGGCUAAUACUCCGAUACCACUCUAUAUUAAGAUGUUAAAGCAAGUAGAAUAUACCAAACAGAAGCCUAAUAUACCUAGAUGCGACAAGAUCCUAACAUAAAGGGCAGAUUUAACAUAUAGAUUAAGCAUAUGGAAUAAAAGUAGUUAAAUCAGAUAAGAUCGGCUGAAACUCCGAUACUACCCUAAUCGGCAACCAUAAAGCAGGCUAGAGAUUGCAAAUCUAAGCACGACUUAAUAGAUCAAACUCAACUGAUGUAGCAUUAAGUAUGAAAAGAAGAACAAUAUCUAAACAAUUAAGCCGCUGGAAGUUUCAUAGAGUGGUAGAUAUAUCACAUAAUCUAAGUUAACAUCAUUGUCUAACCUAAUCGGCUGCCUUCCAUUAACAGAUGUUAGCCGGUUAUAGGUUAGAUAGAGACAUUAUCGAAGAUUAUGUGAGAUAUAUGAUAACUCGACGAAUUAUAUAGACAAGAUUAGAGUAUCAUAAAGAUGGAAGCACUAAUCCUGAGAACAUAAAUCGUCAUGACAAGUUUUACCUCUUGUUGAAGAUCGAAACAGAUGCAGCUCAACCCGAGAGCACGAACUCGUCGAAAUAAAAGUAAAGCAAAAAAGGUUGACGAUGCGCCGAGAUUGUAUUGGAUGUGUAUCCUUUUUUUACAUAGGGCUUGGGUCUACUUAUACCCGAGAAUUACAAGAUACGUCCAUAACGGACCCGACUAUUAUCUCUAACAAACUCUAAGAUACCAUAAGUCUUUACGGCAGACUUUUGCCCAAACAUAUCUCUAAGGAAAUUACACAUAAUAUCCUAAUUAAUAGAUACAAUUGCCUUCCCAGGACUCUAUCCAUGCGUGGUAAUCAUCUUUGAAGCACAUCAACUUGAACCCGACGACAUACGCCGAGUCAUAUUAUCGGAAUCGGCUGUAUCGGCUAACCCCGUCCGACUCGAACUCUGCCGACCUGACCUUAGCCGAUUUGGACUGCAGCCGAUUCUUACUCUGUUUCCGCAACGAUCUUCAUCUUGGAUUCCACUUCGAUCUGAUCUUCACCUUCGAUGCCAAUAGUGAUAGAAUUUACCAAAUUUGGUCGUUAACAGACAUUUGAAACUAAAAUAAAAAAUAAAAAAAUAAAAUUAAUAUGUAUU